rnacentral:rRNA from 1 species
GAGUUUGAUCCUGGCUCAGAAUCAACGCUGGCGGCGUGCCUAACACAUGCAAGUCGAACGCGAAAGUGGAGCAAUCCAUGAGUAGAGUGGCAAACGGGUGAGUAACACGUGGGUGACCUGCCUUCGAGUGGGGGAUAACGUCCCGAAAGGGACGCUAAUACCGCAUAACAUCCUGCCUUUGAAGAGGCGGAAAUCAAAGCUGGGGAUCGCAAGACCUAGCGCUUGAAGAGGGGCCCGCGUCCGAUUAGCUAGUUGGUGAGGUAAUGGCUCACCAAGGCAACGAUCGGU